GAAAAAAACCCCAAGCCCCGCGACCCGCGCCCCGCCCCGCGCGUCCCGCGUCCUAGGCGCCCCUCGACCGCGCCGCCUCCUCACCGCCCUCGACCACAGUCGCCCCGCGCGCCCUCGACCGCCGCCGCCUCCUCGCCGCCCCGCGCCGCCUCCUCUCUGCCCUCAACCGCCGACGCCCCGCGCCGCCUCCUCGCCGCACCCAACUCCGGUUGCGCCGUAGUGUCCACCGCCGCCGCCCGCCGCAUCGUCGUCCUCCCCAUCACCCGCCACCAACGCCUACUCCGUCCACCCGCCACCGACACCGAAUCCUCCGCCCACCCGCAACCGCCGCCAACGCCCCCGCCGCUGAGUCAGCUCCAGAUCCGCUGUCGGGCUGACUCCUCCUCCUCCUCCCUGUCGCGGACGCCGCCGCCGCCGAUGCCUACUACUCCGCUCCGAGCCCCAUCUAGCGAACAGAGCAGGGAUGGGAGGGGCGCCGUCGUCCUACUGCAUCCUUGGUGUUGGACUUGAUAAAGCUUGGAGAUCAUCUCAGUGAACGGGAGGAUGCUGAUCUCUAUAGGAUUGGGAUUACUGGUGAAUCACUUGGAGAUAAUCAAGAACUAUCAUGAUCUUUUGUGAUCAAAAGCC
rnacentral:lncRNA from 4 species